rnacentral:rRNA from 1 species
UACUCCUACGGGAGGCAGCAGUGGGGAAUUUUGGACAAUGGGCGCAAGCCUGAUCCAGCCAUGCCGCGUGAGUGAAGAAGGCCUUCGGGUUGUAAAGCUCUUUCAGCUGGGAAGAUAAUGACGGUACCAGCAGAAGAAGCCCCGGCUAACUCCGUGCCAGCAGCCGCGGUAAU